GACGAACGCUGGCGGCGUGCUUAACACAUGCAAGUCGAACGGAAAGGCCCUGCUUUUGUGGGGUGCUCGAGUGGCGAACGGGUGAGUAACACGUGAGUAACCUGCCCUUGACUUUGGGAUAACUUCAGGAAACUGGGGCUAAUACCGGAUAGGAGCUCCUGCUGCAUGGUGGGGGUUGGAAAGUUUCGGCGGUUGGGGAUGGACUCGCGGCUUAUCAGCUUGUUGGUGGGGUAGUGGCUUACCAAGGCUUUGACGGGUAGCCGGCCUGAGAGGGUGACCGGCCACAUUGGGACUGAGAUACGGCCCAGACUCCUACGGGAGGCAGCAGUGGGGAAUAUUGCACAAUGGGCGGAAGCCUGAUGCAGCAACGCCGCGUGCGGGAUGACGGCCUUCGGGUUGUAAACCGCUUUCGCCUGUGACACAGCGUGAGUGACGGUAAUGGGUAAAGAAGCACCGGCUAACUACGUG
rnacentral:rRNA from 1 species